rnacentral:rRNA from 1 species
GACGAACGCUGGCGGCGUGCCUAAUACAUGCAAGUCGAACGCUUCUUUUUCACCGAACUUCGGUUCAUCGAAAAAGAGGAGUGGCGAACGGGUGAGUAACACGUGGGUAACCUGCCCAUCAGAAGGGGAUAACACUUGGAAACAGGUGCUAAUACCGUAUAAUGCUUUUUCUCGCAUGAGAGCAAGCUGAAAGGCGCUUUUGCGUCACUGAUGGAUGGACCCGCGGUGCAUUAGCUAGUUGGUGAGGUAACGGCUCACCAAGGCCACGAUGCAUAGCCGACCUGAGAGGGUGAUCGGCCACACUGGGACUGAGACACGGCCCAGACUCCUACGGGAGGCAGCAGUAGGGAAUCUUCGGCAAUGGACGAAAGUCUGACCGAGCAACGCCGCGUGAGUGAAGAAGGUUUUCGGAUCGUAAAACUCUGUUGUUAGAGAAGAACAAGGAUGAGAGUAAAAUGUUCAUC